rnacentral:misc_RNA from 1 species
AAGACUAUAGACCUGCGGAGUACCUGCGGAAGGAUCAUUACUGAGUGAGGGCCCUCUGGGUCCAACCUCCCACCCGUGUUUAACGAACCUUGUUGCUUCGGCGGGCCCGCCUCACGGCCGCCGGGGGGCAUCCGCCCCCGGGCCCGCGCCCGCCGAAGACACCUGUGAACUCUGUCUGAAGUUGCAGUCUGAGAAACUAUUUAAAUUAGUUAAAACUUUCAACAACGGAUCUCUAGAUCG